CGAGUUUCUACAUUAGUUGUU
rnacentral:siRNA from 1 species